GCGUGGGGACAGAUCUGCACUCUGCGUGUUUGGGGUGUCAAGAAAACAGGUAUCACAGUGCUUCAUCAGUCUCCUCUGGACCAGUAAGCUACCCCAGAUUGAGGGAGAAAGAUGAAGAGAGGGAGCAACAGUAUCUCAAACUGGAGAAGCCCCUGGCAUUGCUACUACUGGGGUCCUGAUCACCUUAUACUGGACGGCUAUGAAUGGAGGGACAAAGAAAACUUGGAGGACACUGCCAUUCAGAACCAUAGUCUUUGUUGCUUCUGAAUCCUUCCCUUUGAUCAGGAAUACUUCUUAGCAACUUUUAUUGUCUAUGCUUCUUUUUGGAAGUUCCCCCUUUCUCUUUCUACCGCUAGUUGAAUGACCUUCUAUAUUCUCAUCAGUCCAAAUUGCAAAGGAUAGCAUCAGAUUGACUGGGGCAAUUAAUCUGCCUCCUAUUAAGAAGAGAGCCUCUUGGGGCUCCUGAGUGGCUCAGUC